rnacentral:rRNA from 1 species
UACAGAGGGUGCGAGCGUUGUCCGGAAUCACUGGGCGUAAAGGGCGCGUAGGUGGUUGGGUAAGCGUGCGGUGAAAGCCCGGGGCUCAACCCCGGGUCGGCCAUGCGAACUGCCCGACUGGAGCACGGUAGAGGCCAAUGGAAUUCCGGGUGUAGCGGUGGAAUGCGUAGAGAUCCGGAAGAACACCAGUGGCGAAGGCGGCCCGCUGGGCAGUGGCUGACGCUGAAGCGCGACAGCGUGGGGAGCAAACAGG